UACGUAGGUGGCAAGCGUUGUCCGGAUUUACUGGGCGUAAAGAGCGCGCAGGCGGUCGUUCAAGUCGCGUGUGAAAGCCCCCGGCUCAACUGGGGAGGGUCACGCGAUACUGAUCGACUGGAAGGCAGGAGAGGGUAGUGGAAUUCCGGGUGUAGUGGUGAAAUGCGUAGAUAUCCGGGAGGAACACCAGUGGCGAAGGCGACUUUCUGGCCUGUUCUUGACGCUGAGGCGCGAAAGCUAGGGGAGCAAACGGG
rnacentral:rRNA from 1 species